rnacentral:tRNA from 1 species
GGCACUAUAAGCCUAAUUGGUAAGGCAGCUGACUAGAAAUCAGCUAGUAAUCGUGAUAAGCGAUGUCUAGGUUCAAGUCCUAGUGGUGUCG